UUGCAAUGAUCUCAAUCUCUCACUGAAUUCAACCUUGAAGUUGCGAAUCCAUGAGCUUUUUAACCCUGAGCAAU
rnacentral:snoRNA from 10 species